AUUGAACGCUGGCGGCAGGCCUAACACAUGCAAGUCGAGCGGCAGCGGAAAGUAGCUUGCUACUUUGCCGGCGAGCGGCGGACGGGUGAGUAAUGUCCGGGAAACUGCCUGAUGGAGGGGGAUAACUACUGGAAACGGUAGCUAAUACCGCAUGACCUCGAAAGAGCAAAGUGGGGGAUCUUCGGACCUCACGCCAUCGGAUGUGCCCAGAUGGGAUUAGCUAGUAGGUGAGGUAAUGGCUCACCUAGGCGACGAUCCCUAGCUGGUCUGAGAGGAUGACCAGCCACACUGGAACUGAGACACGGUCCAGACUCCUACGGGAGGCAGCAGUGGGGAAUAUUGCACAAUGGGCGCAAGCCUGAUGCAGCCAUGCCGCGUGUGUGAAGAAGGCCUUAGGGUUGUAAAGCACUUUCAGCGAGGAGGAAGGCAUCAUACUUAAUACGUGUGGUGAUUGACGUUACUCGCAGAAGAAGCACCGGCUAACUCCGUGCCAGCAGCCGCGGUAAUACGGAGGGUGCAAGCGUUAAUCGGAAUUACUGGGCGUAAAGCGCACGCAGGCGGUUUGUUAAGUCAGAUGUGAAAUCCCCGCGCUUAACGUGGGAACUGCAUUUGAAACUGGCAAGCUAGAGUCUUGUAGAGGGGGGCAGAAUUCCAGGUGUAGCGGUGAAAUGCGUAGAGAUCUGGAGGAAUACCGGUGGCGAAGGCGGCCCCCUGGACAAAGACUGACGCUCAGGUGCGAAAGCGUGGGGAGCAAACAGG
rnacentral:rRNA from 1 species